UGCCAGCANHMGCGGUUACACGAUUACCUAUAGUUCAGUCAAUAGGUAUUAUGGUAAAGUUGAAAAAAAGGGAAAAACAAAUCAUACUACUAGUUAAAUGGAAAAACAAUGAUAGAAACCGAAUAACCCUAAAACCUAAACCCAUGAAAUUUUAUAAAUAGAACCAGGAUUAGAUACCCUGCUACUAAUAACCGUAAAACAAAAAUACCAGGGUAUUACGAAUUGAACGUUUAAAACCUAAAGAGCUUGGCGGCCUUUCUAUUCAAUCAGGGGAGCCUGUCCUAUAAACGAUAAUCCACGUCAAACCUCACCUCUCCUAGAAAAUCAGCAUGUAUACCUCCGUCGACAGUUACCCUUAAUAAAAGAAAAAAAGUUAACAACAAGCGACUAAUAAAUCGCAACAAGUCAGGUCAAGGUGCAGCUAAUGGGGAGGAAGAGAUGGGCUACUUUAACAAAUAAUUAAAUGAAUCACUCAACCUACAGGRGAGUGUGAAAUAGUACUUGAAAGUAAGACUAGAUUAGAAAGCUAGUCUGAAUAAUACAAAGAAGGCGCACAAAUCGCCCGUCAAUCCCGCAUAACAUAAAAUGGGAWAAGUCGUAACAHAGUA
rnacentral:rRNA from 1 species